UACGUAGGGUGCGAGCGUUAAUCGGAAUUACUGGGCGUAAAGCGUGCGCAGGCGGUUCGUUGUGUCGGCGGUGAAAGCCCCGGGCUUAACCUGGGAAUGGCCGUUGAAACUGGCGAACUGGAGUGUGGCAGGAGGGGGGUGGAAUUCCGCGUGUAGCAGUGAAAUGCGUAGAUAUGCGGAGGAACACCGAUGGCGAAGGCAAUCCCCUGGGCCUGCACUGACGCUCAUGCACGAAAGCGUGGGGAGCAAACAGG
rnacentral:rRNA from 1 species